rnacentral:rRNA from 1 species
CGAAAGGUGCUUGCACCUUUCAAGUGAGUGGCGAACGGGUGAGUAACACGUGGACAACCUGCCUCAAGGCUGGGGAUAACAUUUGGAAACAGAUGCUAAUACCGAAUAAAACUUAGAGUCGCAUGACACAAAGUUAAAAGGCGCUUCGGCGUCACCUAGAGAUGGAUCCGCGGUGCAUUAGUUAGUUGGUGGGGUAAAGGCCUACCAAGACAAUGAUGCAUAGCCGAGUUGAGAGACUGAUCGGCCACAUUGGGACUGAGACACGGCCCAAACUCCUACGGGAGGCUGCAGUAGGGAAUCUUCCACAAUGGGCGAAAGCCUGAUGGAGCAACGCCGCGUGUGUGAUGAAGGCUUUCGGGUCGUAAAGCACUGUUGUAUGGGAAGAACAGCUAGAAUAGGAAAUGAUUUUAGUUUGACGGUACCAUACCAGAAAGGGACGGCUAAAUACGUGCCAGCAGCCGCGGUAAUACGUAUGUCCCGAGCGUUAUCCGGAUUUAUUGGGCGUAAAGCGAGCGCAGACGGUUUAUUAAGUCUGAUGUGAAAGCCCGGAGCUCAACUCCGGAAUGGCAUUGGAAACUGGUUAACUUGAGUGCAGUAGAGGUAAGUGGAACUCCAUGUGUAGCGGUGGAAUGCGUAGAUAUAUGGAAGAACACCAGUGGCGAAGGCGGCUUACUGGACUGCAACUGACGUUGAGGCUCGAAAGUGUGGGUAGCAAACAGGAUUAGAUACCCUGGUAGUCCACACCGUAAACGAUGAACACUAGGUGUUAGGAGGUUUCCGCCUCUUAGUGCCGAAGCUAACGCAUUAAGUGUUCCGCCUGGGGAGUACGACCGCAAGGUUGAAACUCAAAGGAAUUGACGGGGACCCGCACAAGCGGUGGAGCAUGUGGUUUAAUUCGAAGCAACGCGAAGAACCUUACCAGGUCUUGACAUCCUUUGAAGCUUUUAGAGAUAGAAGUGUUCUCUUCGGAGACAAA